GAGGACCGAACCGACUAAUGUUGAAAAAUUAGCGGAUGACCUGUGGCUGGGGGUGAAAGGCCAAUCAAACCGGGAGAUAGCUGGUUCUCCCCGAAAGCUAUUUAGGUAGCGCCUCGUGAAUUCAUCUCCGGGGGUAGAGCACUGUUUCGGCUAGGGGGCCAUCCCGGCUUACCAACCCGAUGCAAACUGCGAAUACCGGAGAAUGUUAUCACGGGAGACACACGGCGGGUGCUAACGUCCGUCGUGAAGAGGGAAACAACCCAGACCGCCAGCUAAGGUCCCAAAGUCAUGGUUAAGUGGGAAACGAUGUGGGAAGGCCCAGACAGCCAGGAUGUUGGCUUAGAAGCAGCCAUCAUUUAAAGAAAGCGUAAUAGCUCACUGGUCGAGUCGGCCUGCGCGGAAGAUGUAACGGGGCUAAACCAUGCACCGAAGCUGCGGCAGCGACACUGUG
rnacentral:rRNA from 2 species